CCGGAUUAGCUGAGAGGUGGUGCAUGGCCGUGUCAGUUCGUACUGUGAAGCAUCCUGUUAAGUCAGGCAACGAGCGAGACCCACGCCCACAGUUGCCAGCGUACUCUCCGGAGUGACGGGUACACUGUGGGACCGCCGCUGCUAAAGCGGAGGAAGGAAUGGGCAACGGUAGGUCAGUAUGCCCCGAAUAUCCCGGGCUACACGCGAGCUACAAUGGUUGGUACAAUGGGUAUCUACCCCGAAAGGGGACGGAAAUCUCCUAAAACCAAUCUUAGUUCGGAUUGAGGGCUGCAACUCGCCCUCAUGAAGCUGGAAUCCGUAGUAAUCGCGUUUCAACAGAACGCGGUGAAUACGUCCCUGCUCCUU
rnacentral:rRNA from 1 species